UGAGGAAUAUUGGUCAAUGGGCGAGAGCCUGAACCAGCCAAGUCGCGUGAGGGAAGACGGUCCUACGGAUUGUAAACCUCUUUGUCGGGGAGCAAUAAGGCGUACGAGUACGCAGAUGCGAGUACCCGAAGAAAAGACAUCGGCUAACUCCGUGCCAGCAGCCGCGGUAAUACGGAGGAUGCGAGCGUUAUCCGGAUUUAUUGGGUUUAAAGGGUGCGCAGGCGGAAAGUGCAAGUCAGCGGUCAAACGACGGGGCUCAACCCCGUCUCGCCGUUGAAACUGUCUUUCUAGAGUGAGCGAGAAGUAUGCGGAAUGCGUGGUGUAGCGGUGAAAUGCAUAGAUAUCACGCAGAACUCCGAUUGCGAAGGCAGCAUACCGGCGCUCAACUGACGCUCAUGCACGAAAGCGUGGGUAUCGAACAGGAUUAGAUACC
rnacentral:rRNA from 1 species